AGAAAAGUAAGUAGAAAGGCAUUUGGGGUCGAAACAUGGCAAGACUCCCAAGUGCCUUUCUUA
rnacentral:sRNA from 1 species